rnacentral:lncRNA from 1 species
GGACAAUAAAAGACUACCAAUGACUAACAAGCAGGACAAAUGUUACAAUAUUUCUGUACCACGUGACUGCCAGAAUCACCAUUCUUGUGCAGUUUGGGUUGUCUAUUAAGUAAGAUGGUUACAUGAAAGUGGACAUUGUGAUGUACAGCAGCCAAGGCCAUGACUUGGAUGUUAUGGAGUGACUAAUGAGUAGCCAGGGUACAUAUGUGGAGGGGGAGAGACACCUUGGUUGGAAGCCCCAUAGAGGAGUUAUAAAGACAAACAAAGAAGCUUACUGGAUUGGGGGCAAUGGAGACGCCUGGGAGGUGAGUUCCCUUAACCUGAGAAGUGGAGAAAUGACGAUGACAGGAAACAAAGUCACGGCAUUUGAAAAGCCUGAGACAAACGGCUUUGAGAUCUGGCUGCUGCAGCUUGACGUGACUCUGAGAUGCUACAAUCCACUUAACUGAUCCUGGCACUUUGGACAUGAAGAGGAUGGCAUGGGUUGUCCCAGGUUACAGACUAAUCACAGUGCCGAAAAGUUGCUAGCAGAAAACUAGAUUCUCUGGUUGUUGUUCUUUCCCUUUAUUCUCGGUUGCCCAUGUGAAGCAGCAAUAUCGAAAUUGCGAUAUGUAAAGGACACAAAGGGUUUACAGUGAAAAAAAAUCAGUCUCCUAUCCACAGCUGUCUCUGACCAUUUAAGAUUCCUCCCCUUUUUGUUGACCUAGAAUUAGUUGUAGCUUGGGGUGUGAGGUUGGGAUCCAACACGCAGAACUUUUACAAGCCCUUGAGGUGUCUUUCCUUUGUUUAUGCUCUUCUUUUGGUAUUUUUGUGUUUAUUUUGCUUAUUCUUUCUCCUCUGUGAAGCCGAGAGUCCGAAAAUAAAUGAAAAGCAAAUGUUGUUCUUUGUUAAAAA